AUGGGCUGCACGGGCUCCAGGCACGCGCUGCGGGGCGGCAUCCGGAAGUCCUUCGGCCGGAGCCGCUCCGGCCCGGCGGCCGCCGGGGCGGCGCACCACACCGUCGCGCUCAAGUCCUCCACGCUGGGCUCACUCAGCCUCGACCGGGACGAGGAGAUGAUGAAGUGGCGCGCCGACAGCUUCGGCGGCGCCGCGAAGAGCAAGGCCACCACGCCGGCGCCGCCCCCGCAGCCGCAGCUGGCGAGGCAGCAGCGGCAGGUGAUUGGCACGCCCACCAAGACGCCGGUCCGCGAGCCCGAGGUGAUCAAUGUGUGGGAGCUCAUGGAGGGUCUCGACGACAACAAGAACGAGGAGCGCGAUGCGGCCGAGGACGAGCGCCGGGAGCAGUCGCCGCCGGGAUCGCCGGAGUUCGAUCCGGAAGUCAUUUCGGAGUUCCGCAAGGCGCUCGGCGAGGCUUCGCCCCCGCGGGACUACAAGGCCGACGGCGAGUGCGUCAAGAAGCGCGAAAUCCAGAGGUUUCCGGGCAUCGUGCGCGCGCGGGUCAGCGCGUUCCAGCAGAGGAUCGACGCGAAGCUCGCCAAGUUGGCGCGCCCACCCACGCCCACGCCCACGUCCCCGCCUCCUUCUCCUUCUCCCCCUCCGCCACCGCAGCCGCAGCUGCCUCCCCCGCCGGACAGCCAGCGGAAGGUGGUGCUGUACCUCACCAGCCUGCGCGGCAUCCGCAAGACGUUCGAGGACUGCUGGGCCACCAAGUCCAUCCUCCACGGCUACGGCGUGCGCAUCGACGAGCGCGACCUUUCGCUACACGGCGGGUUCAAGGACGAGCUCCACGCCUCUCUGGGCUCCGCGGGCAGGCUGCCCCAGGUGUUCGUGGACGGCGAGCACCUGGGCAGCGCCGAAGACGUCCGCCGCUUGCACGAGGCCGGGGAGCUGUCCAAGGCGCUGGAGGCCUGCGAGAUGGCGCCGCCGAGCGUGGGCGGCAAGGGCGCGGCGCUGGAGGCGUGCUCCGGGUGCGGCGGCGUCCGGUUCGUGCCGUGCGAGGAAUGCUCCGGCAGCUGCAAGGUGUUCCUGGAGGAGCUGGACAGCUUCCGGCGGUGUCCCGACUGCAACGAGAACGGGCUCGUCCGGUGCCCGCUCUGCUGCUUGUGA
rnacentral:rRNA from 1 species